GGUGAACGCUGGCGGCGUGCCUAACACAUGCAAGUCGAGCGGUGCAGUUUGAAGCUUCGGUGGAAAGCUGCAUAGCGGCGGACGGGUGAGGAAAACGUAGGAACGUGCCCCUUGGAGUUGGAUAGCCACGGGAAACUGUGGGUAAACCGACAUAGACUCGAGAGAGUAAAGGCCGAAAGGCGCCAAGGGAGCGGCCUGCGGCCCCAUCAGGUAGUUGGUGAGGUAACGGCCCACCAAGGCGACGAUGGGUAGCCGGCCUGAGAGGGUGGACGGCCACACUGGGACUGAGACACGGCCCAGACUCCUACGGGAGGCAGCAGUAGGGAAUUUUCCGCAAUGGGGGAAACCCUGACGGAGCAACGCCGCGUGAGGGAAGAAGGCCUUCGGGUCGUAAACCUUUGUCAUCGAGGACGAUAAUGACGGUACUCGAGGAGGAAGCCCCGGCUAACUACGUG
rnacentral:rRNA from 1 species